CUGGAAUGCUCCUAAGUAUGGCAUUAAAGAAAUCUUUCUAUUGUAUUUGUUCCUUUACAGUUGUUUUUUUUGCUCAGAAAUACCGGUCAAAACAUUCCUUUCCACAGAUCUGACCUGUAACUUGGCCUCGCGAAGCCGUCUGCUUGUGUCUGUGUGAAGAUAAAUACUUUUAAUGUCAUACUGUGGGCCAUUUUAGGCAAAGUAAUGACAUCUCCAUGGAGACAAGCAGGUGACAAACCCUCCCUCAGAAAAGUCACACAGUACAGUGCACCUUUUUCUCAAACCAGCUCAAUAAUUCUUCUUAUUUUAGCAUUAUUUUUAUUUUAGCACCCUCUAUGUUCCUACUACUAGAUGGGAACAAACUACUACUGCUACUCUGUCCGUAUUAAAGCUCCUAUAUUACGCAAAAUUGACUCUUGUGAGCUUUAAGUCAUGUUAUAAUGUUGUUACCUCCUUAAAAACAUACCUGGAGUUGCGUUUUGUUUCACUCACACAUGUUUAAGUAACCCUUUAUUAUUAGUUUAUCGACAUCUCUAAAGCUCAAAAUGCUCUAUUCCACCUUGUGAUGUCAUGAAGUGGUAGUUUUCAAGUUAACAGCUAACUUUUACCUUUUGCUCCAUAGAAAUUGGCAACUCCAGGGCUGAAAGCGUCCAAAUGAUUCUAGUGAAUUUAAAAACACUGUGGAGCACUUCCUGUAUUACCACAUGACAUCACAAGGUGGAACAGAGUGUUUUCAGUUUGAGAGAAGAACUCCGCCUAAAUAUACAGGGUUUGUGUGAAUGAAACAAAACACAACUCCAGCUCUGUUUGUGAGAUCAGAAAAUGGAGUAAUAUGGGCCGUAUAAUUACUUGGAAAAACAUGGACUCUCCUAUCCGUAGAUGUGACCUGUAAUUUGUCCAGGUGGGCAGCUGCUUCUCUCAAUGAAGAUAGAUUAGUUUAAUACCGUACUGUGGAACACUCCAGGCAACUCAAUCAAUUACAUCUCCAUGGAAACCAAAAGGUGGUAGACCAGUCCAUUAGAAAAUUUACUCAGUGUUGCAUUGUAGGAAGUUUGACCCACUUCAUGAGAGAUUGCUCUUUAUCUCAAGUACAUUUAAACACGAAAUCUUAUAUAAAAAAUGUUGUAAAAAGUGAAAUAUUUAAACUUGGACCUAAAAGUGCUCUAUCGAUUACAUUAAGUGGCAUUUGUGUGGAAGAAAAUGAAGGAUCGCUAUUGGCACCUACUGUGUAUUUAACUUAAAAUCUAUGAAUGUUUUGAGAUAUUAAAAUUAGCUUCACUAUGUAGAUUCUUGUACGACGCCAAACGAAAAAAAAAAAAAACGCUUUUCAAUUUAAUAUCUUAGGGCUACGAUAGGACAGCUAACGAAAUAAUGUGAACUCAUGAUUUUAGUUUCGAACCUGAUCUGUUCUGUAAAUGUGCUUCUCCUCUGUACUGUCCUUUCUGUCGCGUUUAGUUCAUCCAAUGGCAAACAGGGUUAUCCCAAAACACAAUCUCUACCUUUCUACAAUAUUAUUACACACCAACUAGCCAAUGCAUUCAAACCACUGAUGGGUGAGGUUUUACAGCUGAGGAAUAUAGCAAGUUGUGUUUGAAAUAAGCAGGAAAACUGAGUAAGGAUUUGAGCAAGUUUGACAGAUGGGUAUUCUUGGUCUACACUGGUCAAUAUCUAGAAUGGCGAUUUUAGACCUAGUUUAUUGCUGUUUUGGUCCUGGUUUAUUGCUGUUUUGGUCCUGGUUUAGACCUGGUUUAGACCUGGUUUAGACCUGGUUUAGACCUGGUUUAGACCUGGUUUAGACCUGGUUUAGACCUGGUUUAGCGCAGCUGUUGUGGAAUGUUACUGGUCUCUAUUGGUCAGUAUAUAAGUACGGUUUUAGACCUGGUUUAGUCCUGGUUUAGUCUUGGUUUAGUCCUUUGUUGGACCUGAUUAUUUUCUGGGGUAGACCAGUUUUAGACCUGGUUUACUACAGCUCUUGAAGGCUGUUCCCAAUGUCUUGUGGCCAGUAUCUAUUAGAAAAGCUUCAGACCUGGUUUAGUACCAGGUUAGACCUUCGUUUAGACCUUCGUUUUAGACCUGUUUUAGUCCUGGUUUGGUUCUGUUUUAGAUCUUGGUGAGACCUGGAUUAGACCUUGUUCAGCCCUGGUUUAGUACCAAGUUAGACCUUAGUUUUAGACCUUGUUAGUUCAUUUCUACUCUUUACACUUUAUACUAUGAUGCUGUUCUUGUCCGUACCAAAAGCAGGCGUUCCUUGAGAGUGGUUGUCGUAUUGUUUUGGCUGGUUGGUGCAGUCUUCAUGAACUGUCAGGGUAUUGUCCCAUCUCAUUUCAUUACAUCUGAUCUGACGGAGCCGGGUCUGCAUCGUUUGCCUGAUUUCUCCCAUAGCACACCCUCAAUAACUUAUACAGCAUUUUCUCAUGACAAAGAAAGUAGGUGCUAUUCCAAGAUGGCUGCCACUUAUCUAUUUCAGUUCACACUUUUAUCAACUUUUCUUUCACAGACAUAUUAAACUCAGAUUUAACUGGCAUUAUAUUUAGCUUGAAAUGUAGUAGUUUGUUUUUGGGUUUUUUUACUUUCAAGAUGGAUAAAUGUAACACGAAAUCGCUUCCGCAGUAAACGAGAUUAUAGAGUUUAUAUGUCACCUAUUUAAAACACUAUUGCAUAACCGAUUACAGUUAAUAACUUCUUUCUACCCCAAAAUUUCAAAUGUCAUGCUACUUACUUACUGGUCAUGUAGUCUGCUCUGUACUGUAGUUGUGACGCCCUCUGCUGGUCAUCGGAGGGAGUUGUUGCUUUAGUAAUUUUCGCAUAGGUAAACAGUUUAAUUUCUUUGUCAUGAAUUACACGUGCAAGUACAAGUAAAAUAGAUCAGAUGGAUGCUUAGUACCAGAAAUACUUUGCUUUUAGUUUGAAAAUUCAUUUAUGGACCAAAUCUUUCCAUGUGUUUCAGUGUUUAUCCUCAACCUGUCUAUUUUCCAUAGUCAACUGCAGUAACCUACAACUACUAAAGUAUCUAGAGCUCCAAAUGUCUUUUUAAAAUAAGUUCAAUACUUGUUCAGGCAAUAUCGAUUCAAAAUCAUCUUAUCGUGCUAUAUAGUGUGGUCAGCUCACAUCCAGUAACUCAGGAAGUGAUGUGUAUUUUUAUUCAGAGUUUUCAUAUGUUUUAAAUGCAGCCGACCCCAUAUAUUUGAACCUCAAAUCCACUUCUUCUCUAAUACAAAUGCUAUCGGAACGGCUAUUUUAUCUUUUUGUUAACUACUACUGCCUUUGCCCAUUUUCUUUGUAAGACGAAAACCCUAUUAUAAGCUCAAAUUGUACAGAAUGUAUGGCAUUAUAAUAUUAAUAGCCGUUUUUUAGUCAAAUGCGUGCUUUUUUUUUCCUCUAUCUCAAAAGCUGAAGUUAAGCUGGAACAAUAUUAAAAAUGUCAUUCCCAUCGCUGUAUACACAAAAGCUUAUUGAUUUUUUCCAUUAUAUUUCCAUCGUCACAUACCUCUAUUUUCUCAUUUUCUUUAUACUAAUAAUAAUGUUAACGCUUUGACACAGCAUAUAAACUAGUGUAGGAUUUUUUUAACCAAUCAGGGAAUACGCCACGCACUGUCGCUGGGUAGAAUAUUAUUGUAACUAUGAGAAAGACGAUGAUGACGAUACAACAGAAAUGAACAGUAUUUCUGCUUUGUAUUUUAUUGUUUUGAAAUCACAAACUGUCUCUGUUACAAAGUAGGAAUAAAGUUAGAAAAUUUUGUAUAA